GGAUUGACGGUUGGGCAAUUUCUUCAGGAAUUUCAAUGUGUGCGAGUCAACGGGCGAGUAAACUCAUAAGGCGUAAGGAAGCUGACUGGCGGGAUCCCCUCGUGGGUUGCACCGCCGAUUGACCUUGAUCUUUUGAGAAGGGUUCAAGUGAGAGCAUGCUUGUCGGGACCCGAAAGAUGGUGAACUAUGCCUGAGCGGGGCGAAGCUAGAGGAAACUGUGGUGGAGGCCCGCAGCAAUACUGACGUGCAAAUCAUUCGUCUGACUUGGGUAUAGGGGCGAAAGACUAGUCAAACCAUCUAGUAGCUGGUUCCUUCUGAAGUUUCCCUCAAGAUAGCUGGAGGUCGGGAUGAGUUCUAUCGGGUAAAGCCAAUGAUUAGAGGCGUCGAGGGCACACUAUUCUCAAACUUUAAAUAGGUAGGAUGGCAUGGCUGCUUGAUUGAGCUGGGCCACGGAAUCGAGAGCUCCAAGUGGGCCAUUUUUGGUAAGCAGAACUAGCGAUGUGGGAUGAACCGGAAGACGGGUUACGGUGCCCAACUGCACGCUAACCUAGAACCCACAAAGGGUGUUGGUCGAUUAAGAUAGCAGGACGGUGGUCAUGGAAGUCGAAAUCCGCUAAGGAGUGUGUAACAACGCACUUGCCGAAUCAACUAGCCCCGAAAAUGGAUGGCGCUUAAGUGCGCGACCUAUGCCCGGCCGUCGGGGCAAGAGCCAGGCCCCGAUGAGUAGGAGGGCGCGACGGUCGCUGUAAAACCCAGGGCGCAAGCCUGAGCGAAGCGGCCGCCGGUGCAGAUCUUGGUGGUAGUAGCAAAUAUUCAAAUGAGAACUUUGAAGGCCGAAGAGGGGAAAGGGUCCAUGUGAACAACACUUGCACAUGUGUUAGUCGAUCCUAAGAGACGAGGAAGCCCGUCCGACAGGGCGUCCGCGCACGAGCUUUGAAAGGGAAUCGAGUUAAAAUUCCCAAAUCGGGACAUGGCGGCUGACGGCAAUGUUAGGGAGUCCGGAGAUGUCAGCGGGGGCCUUAGGAAGAGUUAUCUUUUCUGUUUAACAGCCCGCCCACACUGGAAACGACUCAGUUAGAGGUAGGGUCUAGUGGUUGGAAGAGCACUGCACGUCGCGUGGUGUCCGGUGCCCUGUCGUACUCAUAACCGCAUCAGGUCUCCAAGGUGAACAACCUCUGGUCAAUGGAACAAUGUAGGCAAGGGAAGUCAGCAAAAUAGAUCCGUAACCUCGGGAAAAGGAUUAGCUCUGAGGGCUGGUCCCGGGGUCCCAGUCCCAAACCCGUCGGUUGUCGGCGUACUGCUCGAGCUGCUCCCGCAAUGAGGGCGAGUCAUCGCGUGUCGGCCGGGGGACAGACUGGGAACGGCCCCUUCGGGGGCCUUCCCCGGGGGUCGAACAGUCGACUCAAAACUGGUACAGACAAGGGGAAUCCGACUAUUUAAUUAAAAUAAAGCAUUGCGAUGGUCCCUGCAGAUGCUCACAUAAUGUGAUUUUUGCCAGUGCUUUGAAUGUCAAAGUGAAGAAAUUCAACCAAGCGCGAGUAAACGGCGGGAGUAACUAUGACUCUCUUAAGGUAGCCAAAUGCCUCGUUGAUGUGCGUAAAAUACACACAUCUAAACGAGGUUUCUAAGAAUGAUUUUAUGGACAUUUGGAUGUGAAUUGGUCCCAACACUCACCCUAUGCGUCUGUUUAUGUGCAUUAGGUCCAAAAGAAGUCAAAGAAUGAUAAAGGGAAGAAUUGGAGCAUAAUUGGACGUCAAAGCUGCUGAAACAAGCUAAGUAUGCGCAUGAGGAAGCUGAACAUGGCCGUGUUGAUUUUAACACUAUCCGUGUUCCCAACACGGUCACCAACACGGCCGUGUUCGGUACAUCAAACAUCAAAGAAAAGGAAGUUCUUAAGGAGCAUGACCAUAGAGAGUAACACGGGCAUAAACACCAGCCCGUGUUGGGAACACGGGCAUCAACACGGCCGUGUUGGCCACAAUAGGAGGAAUUAAUUAAAAGAAAGAAGAGAGGAAAUAAGGAGGAGAGCGAGGGAGAACGUCCCAAACCCUAAUAUUUCUCUCUCUAAGGUUUUUUGAGCUGGAACCAAGGGAAAAGAAGACUUGGAUCAAGGUUUCAAUCGGAUUUCCUUCAAAGAUUGAAGAUUGGGCAAGGUUCGUUGAUAGGUUUUCAAAUCGAGCAAGAUGAACAAGAAUCGAUUCAAUUCGAGCAAGAGGAAUUGGGGCUGUUUACUCUCAUCCAAGGGUGUAAUCGGGUUUCUCUACCUUUACUCAUUGUUGUAAUUGAAUUCUUGUGGAUUUUGAUAAUGAAGAUGAUUAGCUAGAUUGAUUAAAUCCUUUGGGAUUUCUUUACUAUGUUGGCUUAGUAUUACAUUGUUGGAUUGUUUGGGUUAGUUUUGUAUUCUUCUUGCUUUCAGUAUUAAUAAGAUAAUGCAUUAUUCAUGAGACGUUGUGAAUUGUGUGUUUAGAUUGCUUUGUGUGAUUGAGAAGUCCAUUUGGCA
rnacentral:rRNA from 1 species